CGAGCACGCGCGUGUGGCAUAUCAAUAAGCGGAGGAAAAGAAACUAACAAGGAUUCCCUUAGUAACGGCGAGUGAAGCGGGAAGAGCUCAAAUUUGAAAUCUUCAAGGGUUCUACCUUUACGAAUUGUAGUUUAAAGAAGUGUUUUCUGUUGGAGUUUCGGUAAAAGUUCUUUGGAAUAGGACAUCAUAGAGGGUGAGAAUCCCGUAUUUGACCAUUACUUUCCAGCUGUGUGAUACACUUUCAAAGAGUCGGAUUGUUUGGGAAUGCAGUCCAAAAUGGGUGGUAAAUUUCAUCUUAAAGCUAAAUAUUGGCGAGAGACCGAUAGCGAACAAGUACCGUGAGGGAAAGAUGAAAAGAACUUUGAAAAGAGAGUUAAACAGUACGUGAAAUUGUCAAAAGGGAAGCGUUUGACACCAGUGUUGUUUUUCCGAAAAUCAAUUACGAAUGUUUUGUUUUUGAGGAGUUAUGACUUCAUCGGCUCGCUCCUUUCUUUAUGAAACUUUCUUAAUGCACUUUUCGGUUAACAAGUCAACAUCAAUUUCUUUUGUUGUAAAAGGGUAUGAGGAAGGUGGCUUUCUUUUCGGAGAAAGUGUUUAUAGCCUUGUAGCCUCUACAAUCGGAGAGAUUGAGGUCUGCAGCGUAGAUCCUUCGGGGUUAGAUACAUUUGUGCUAAGUUAUAGCUUUUCAUAGACAACUUGUUGACUAUGUUUAGUCUUGUAGCUUACUCGCUUAUGCUAUUUUACCUACGCUUAGGAUGUUGAUGUGAUACUGCGAGC
rnacentral:rRNA from 1 species